GUUUAUUAUUUUUGUCACCUGUCAUAUUAGUAAUAUUAGUUGAUUUAAUUUGACAUUGACUGAUAUGUCUUUGUCUGUCUUUGCCAUAAACAGGAAAGACAUCAGCCUUGAGCAUUUCAUUGCACUUUGACAGACUCAAAAGAUAGCCAAAUGUAGCAGCAAGCCAGCAACAGGAGAGAGCUCGUGAGCGCGCCCAGACGCUGAUGAAGUCUGCGACUGUGCUGACUGUAGCACCAGCUGCCGCCAGAAUAAAAGUUGAUGUAGAGAAAUCAUCUGCAAGGCAGAAAACAAACAAGAACAAUUAUUAUUAUGUUGAUAAAAAAAUGUAAUAAGUCUUCUUAUUUUACACAGUAAUUAAAAAACAACAAAUAAAUCUGAAUUAAUAAUUGUGCAAUUUAAUUGAAUUAUUUGGUUUAAACAGAAGUAAUGGGGGAAGAUCAAUGUUCUGUUAAAAACAACAAAUCACUGGUCAAAAUGGAAAUGUGACAUUGCAAGCAUAAAGGUGACAUUGUUUUGUAAAGGUGUAAAUCAAGUUGC